rnacentral:rRNA from 1 species
UUGGAGGGCAAGUCUGGUGCCAGCAGCCGCGGUAAUUCCAGCUCCAAUAGCGUAUAUUAAAGUUGUUGCAGUUAAAAAGCUCGUAGUUGAAUUUCAGGGUUUGUCUAUCGGUUGGGCUUCACUGUCCGCACUGAUUUGAUGGAUCCUUACCUUCUGAAUAGCCAUCAUGCCAUUAAUUUGGUGCGUUGGGGAAGCAGAGCUAUUACCUUGAAAAAAUUAGAGUGCUUAAAGCAGGCCAGUGCUUGAAUAGAUUAGCAUGGAAUAAUAAAAUAGGACGGCAUGGUUCUAUUUUGUUGGUUUCUAGGAUCACCGUAAUGAUUAAUAGGGAUAGUUGGGGGCAUUAGUAUUCAAUUGUCGGAGGUGAAAUUCUUGGAUUUAUUGAAGACUAACUACUGCGAAAGCAUUUGCCAAGGAUGUUCUCAUUAAUCAAGAACGAAAGUUAGGGGAUCGAAGACGAUCAGAUACCGUCGUAGUCUUAACCACAAACUAUGCCGACUAGGGAUCGGACGAAGCUAAUUCUUAAAUGACUCGUUCGGCGCCUUACGGGAAAC